GGCUGCACCUGCAGCAUAUGGAAGUUCCCAGGUUACAGGUCGAAUCAGAGCUACAGCUGCCAGGCUACGCCACAGCGACAGCAACGUGGGAUUCAAGCCACAUCGGCAACCUCGACCACAGAUCACAGCAAUUCUAGAUCCUUAACCCACUGAGCAAGACCAGGAAUCGAAUCCACAUCCUCAUAGAUAUUAGUUGGGUUCCUUACCUGCCAAGUUACAACAGGAACUCCCAUAUUUUUUUUUUUUUAAUAAAUGCUAUUGGAGUAUAGUUGACUUAUAAAGUUAUGUUACCUUCAGCUGUCCACCAAAGUAAAUCAGUUAUAUAUAUACAAAUAUCCAUUCCCUUUCAUGUUCUUUUCCCAUAGGUUAUUACACAGUAUUGAAUAGAUUACCUUAUUCUAUACAGUAGGUCAUUGUUAUCCAUCUAUUUAAUAGUGAUUUUUGUAACAGUAUUUAAUAGUAUUUUUUGUAAAUAAUUUAGAACUGUUGCUUAACUAUAAAUACCUUGGAUCAGUCUGAAUUAGCCUUAUCAGAGUAUAUAUUAACGACCACCAGAUUAUAGCUUGAAUUUACAUAUUAUUGUACUUCAUAUAUUUUCUUAUACGAAUGAAAUCAUUUCUGAUUUUGGAGAACUCACAGUCAAAUGGAAAAGAGGGACAGAUAAACAACUAAUUAAAAUGCAGUUAGAAAAUGUAAUAUUGGUUGCAUAUAAAAUGUCCUGGAAUAAAGGGGGAAAUUGACUUCUACAAGGUUAGGAGAGAUCCAGGAAUAUUUUGGGAGAUAUGGUUAAGAGAGUAUUCAUGGCGAAUUAGAUUGAAGAAAAAUGAACCAUAAGUCACAAUUUUGUUAAUAUAAUCCCCAUGUCCUUCAAAAAAGAAAUGUUUUUCUUCUAACAUUUUUUUAAUGGAGUCUAUUCUAAACCGUAUCUUACUUCAAGUUUAUAGUUUUAAAUUCAAAGUCCAUCAUAAUUUCUAUCAGAGUAAUCUAGUAGGGAGUUUAUUUUCCCCUUGUAUUGGAAGUAUCAAUUUGGGAUAGAUUUUAAUUAAUAAAUAAUAUAUUUAUUGUGUUACCAAGCUGAAAAGGGGCAACUAAUGGCUAAAUCAUCAACUUGAAAAUACUGAUUUAUUAGUUUUAUACAUGGUUAUUGGAUAAAUAAGAAUAUUCCAUGGAUAAAUCAAAGAAAGUUACCCCUAAAGCAACAGGCUGUCAUUAUCACUAGCCUAUUGAAUGCUCUGACACUUAUUGCAUGUUUAAGAAAGGUAAUAAUUAUGAAAAGCUUCAAUCACUCUUCCACAAGAGAGCUCUUGAAAAUGAUAAUAGUUUAAAGAUAAAUAAGUAAAGAAGUAGUCCAAUGCACUAGAUAUUCAGCUUGAGUUCUGUUCUAGAAAUAAUUGUCUUGGCAAACAAAUAUUUGAAGAAAGAACUAUGAGAAAACAAAAAAUAUAGAUAGAUAGAUAGAUAAAGAUAAAACAAUAAAAUGUUCAAUGGAGCAAUAACACUAGCAAAAUCCCAUGCCUCUCAUAACAUUAAUUUUAUAAAAACUAAUUAUACAUUAUAACCUAGAAAUAUAAAGUUUCCUAAUUUCCCUAUCAAAUGGUAUGACAUGGCCAUUUUAAAAUCAAAUCUGUCCUUUUCUUAAUAAUUGCAUGUAAAAGUUAUAUUCCCAGCCACUUUAAUGCACUGAAUAUUUUAAGGUGUUUUUAAUUUAAACUGGUGUUUUUAUAGUUUACUUUCAUAGUGUUCAAGAUUCAUUAAAACUCCUAGGAAAUAUACGUUGAAAUUUCAGUAACUUGUGAAUUUUCAAAAUCAUGAGAUGCUACAAAGCAACAAUCUUAAUCAGACCCAGAAUUUGUAUUCUCAUUAAUAUUUCUGAUGUGCAUUUCUUUAUAUCAUCUUCUUACUUCUGCGCUAGUUUCCCCACACCGAAGAGGUCAUUGCUUACCAGAGAAAACAAAAGUGGAAGUUGAGGCAAAAAGAAGUUAAUUAGCUUCCUUAGAGUCAUAGAGACAUAGCAUUAGAAUAAAAAUCAAAAUUAGGUCUUUGACUCCAAACUCAUCAUUCUCUUCUUCCCAAUAAAUCCAGCAAAAUAAAGACUAUGCACUUCAUGCAAACUUAAAAUAUUCCUUAAAAUAUAAAUAUCUGAUCUUUGGGAAGAUAUCAGUCAUAUAUAAGUAAGACUCCUUUUUGAUAAAGUAAACAUUUAUAUAUGAAUCAAAUUCUGUAUUAGAAAGUUAAAAAACAGGGGUGAUAAGGUAAAUAAUUCUUCAAUAUUUGUUCAGAUAGAAGAAACAUCAGAAAUAUUUGUUGUCCAUCCCCAUGGGAGAAUUUUAUAUCCUUGCCCAUUUGAUGUGACUUGACUAGUAUCUUGUGAUGCUUCUUCCUAUAGGCAAGUUAUAUAUUUCUACCAGUUAUGUCUGAAGUGGCCAUAAGACUUGCUUUGGCCAUUAAACUGUAUCAUUUCUGAAUAGCUGUUUAAGAGCUUCUGCAUAUUUUCAGUGAUGUCUGUUCCUUUUGCCAUGAGACAUACUUGUCCCAAAUAGGGGCAGUUCCUUCAGAAAAUGUAAUAGAAUGAAGACAAAGAAGAACAGAAACAUCUGAUCCACAAUGGGCAUGAAAUAAAUAAACUUACACACACACACACACACACACACACACACACACACACACACACACACACCAUAUUGCCAUUUUGUGACUAUUUUCUACUUCAUAGCACUGCCUAAGUAGACAUAAGCUUGAUAUUUAAGAUUCUAUUGGGUAUGAGGAAAGACCGCAUGAUAAAAAAAUAAAAAAUAAAAAACAGAAAAAAUUGCUUCUGUUUUUAAGGAGGAAUCAUUCUAUUGUGCUUACUUAAAAAAACUUACUAUUUCCUAAUUCUAAGAGGAACAAAUCUACCCUCUUCACAGAAAAAACUGGAAGGAAAAAAAAUUUUGUUUUUACACGGAAAAGCGCACACACACACACACACACACACCAAUGUGCACAUCUGUAACAAGUGGAUUUGCAAUAAAGUUUUGUUUGUUUGUUUGUUUUGCUUUUUAGGGCCACACCUGAGGCACGAGAAAGUUCCCAGGCUAGGGGUCAAAACAGAGCUACAGCUGCUGACCCAUACCACAACCAGCCAUGCCAGAUCUGAGCCGAGUUGGAAACCUACACCACAGCUCAUAGCAAUGCCAGAUCACCAACCCACUCGAGCAAGGCCAGGGAUCGAACCCACAUCCUCAUGGAUCCUAGUCAGGUUCGUUAAUUGCUAAGCCACGAAGGGAACUCCCAACUGAGAGAUUUUGAGAAAUGCAAACUCUGAUCCUUACCUCGAAACUACUGAAUUGGACUCUCUGGAGGUAGAACUAGAAAAUCUGUUUCUCAACAAUUACUCAAGUAAUUUUUAUGCAAGCUAAAGUUCAAGAAAUAGUGAUCUACAUCUCAAGAAACUCAACUAAAUAAGAUAUGCACAACAAGCUCACUCAUAGGAAUCACCCUUUUCAUGCUAUUACAAGUCACUAUUCAUUAGAAUAAUUGUUUAACACUAUUGACUUUAUUAUUUUUUUCAUAGAAAUGUCUUCAGAGUUGGUAUUUAUUUUAUCUUUCAACACUUUCCUUAACUCAGUUUCAGUACAGUUUAGUUUUUAUCCAGUUCAGCAGAGAAAGAUUCCUUUUA
rnacentral:lncRNA from 1 species